rnacentral:rRNA from 1 species
UAGCAAUAUGUGGCAUACGGCUCAGUAACACGUAGUCACCAUGCCCAGGGGACGUGGAUAACCUCGGGAAACUGAGGAUAAACCGCGAUAGGUCAUCACUUCUGGAAUGGGUAAUGACUUAAAUCUACAUGGCCCCUGGAUUGGACUGCGGCCGAUCAGGCUGUUGGUGAGGUAAUGGCCCACCAAACCUGUAACCGGUACGGGCUCUGAGAGGAGGAGCCCGGAGAUGGGCACUGAGACAAGGGCCCAGGCCCUAUGGGGCGCAGCAGGCGCGAAACCUCUGCAAUAGGCGAAAGCUUGACAGGGUUACUCUGAGUGAUUUCCGUUAAGGAGAUCUUUUGGCACCUCUAAAAAUGGUGCAGAAUAAGGGGUGGGCAAGUCUGGUGUCAGCCGCCGCGGUAAUACCAGCACCCCGAGUGGUCGGGACGAUUAUUGGGCCUAAAGCAUCCGUAGCCGGUCUUGCAAGUCUUCCGUUAAAUCCAGCUGCUUAACAGAUGGGCUGCGGAGGAUACUACAAGGCUAGGAGGCGGGAGAGGCAAGCGGUACUCAGUGGGUAGGGGUAAAAUCCUCUGAUCCAUUGAAGACCACCAGUGGCGAAGGCGGCUUGCCAGAACGCGCUCGACGGUGAGGGAUGAAAGCUGGGGGAGCAAACCGGAUUAGAUACCCGGGUAGUCCCAGCUGUAAACGAUGCAGACUCGGUGAUGGGCCGGCUUCAUGCCGGCUCGGUGCCGCAGGGAAGCCGUUAAGUCUGCCGCCU